rnacentral:rRNA from 1 species
GAGUCUGCCUUGAGAUCGGAGUGCUUGCACUCUGUGAAACAAGAUACAGGCUAGCGGCGGACGGGUGAGUAACACGUGGGUAACCUGCCCAAGAGAUCGGGAUAACACCUGGAAACAGAUGCUAAUACCGGAUAACAACAGAUGAUGCCUAUCAACUGUUUAAAAGAUGGUUCUGCUAUCACUCUUGGAUGGACCUGCGGUGCAUUAGCUAGUUGGUAGGGUAACGGCCUACCAAGGCGAUGAUGCAUAGCCGAGUUGAGAGACUGAUCGGCCACAUUGGGACUGAGACACGGCCCAAACUCCUACGGGAGGCAGCAGUAGGGAAUCUUCCACAAUGGACGCAAGUCUGAUGGAGCAACGCCGCGUGAGUGAAGAAGGGUUUCGGCUCGUAAAGCUCUGUUGUUGGUGAAGAAGGACAGGGGUAGUAACUGACCUUUGUUUGACGGUAAUCAAUUAGAAAGUCACGGCUAACUACGUGCCAGCAGCCGCGGUAAUACGUAGGUGGCAAGCGUUGUCCGGAUUUAUUGGGCGUAAAGCGAGUGCAGGCGGCUCGAUAAGUCUGAUGUGAAAGCCUUCGGCUCAACCGGAGAAUUGCAUCAGAAACUGUCGAGCUUGAGUACAGAAGAGGAGAGUGGAGCUCCAUGUGUAGCGGUGAAAUGCGUAGAUAUAUGGAAGAACACCGGUGGCGAAGGCGGCUCUCUGGUCUGUUACUGACGCUGAGGCUCGAAAGCAUGGGUAG